rnacentral:rRNA from 1 species
GACGAACGCUGGCGGCGUGCUUAACACAUGCCAGUCGAACGGAAAGGCCCUGCUUUUGUGGGGUGCUCGAGUGGCGAACGGGUGAGUAACACGUGAGUAACCUGCCCUUGACUUUGGGAUAACUUCAGGAAACUGGGGCUAAUACCGGAUAGGAGCUCCUGCUGCAUGGUGGGGGUUGGAAAGUUUCGGCGGUUGGGGAUGGACUCGCGGCUUAUCAGCUUGUUGGUGGGGUAGUGGCUUACCAAGGCUUUGACGGGUAGCCGGCCUGAGAGGGUGACCGGCCACAUGGGGACUGAGAUAGGGCCCAGACUCCUACGGGAGGCAGCAGUGGGGAAUAUUGCACAAUGGGCGGAAGCCUGAUGCAGCAACGCCGCGUGCGGGAUGACGGCCUUCGGGUUGUAAACCGCUUUCGCCUGUGACGAAGCGUGAGUGACGGUAAUGGGUAAAGAAGCACCGGCUAACUACGUG